rnacentral:tRNA from 1 species
GUUGUCGUGGCCGAGUGGUUAAGGCGAUGGACUGCAAAUUUUUUGGGAUCUCCCGCGGAGGUUCGAAUCCUGCCGACAUCA